CAUUAAGUGACUGAUAGGAAGUGCCGGUCUCUUAAACCGGGUUAUGGUAGUUUCGUUUACCCUUAAUGG
rnacentral:tRNA from 1 species